rnacentral:tRNA from 2 species
GGCGGAUUAGCUCAGCUGGUUAGAGCGGUGGAAUCAUAAUCCAUGUGUCCGGGGUUCGAGUCCCUGAUCCGCCACCA